UAGCACACAAUUUUAAUAUUUUCACUUAUAAUUUACCCAGACGGGAAAUCCCCGAUAUUUCCGGCUAGUGCUGUCCUCUUCUUUUUCUCAGUGGCUUUACCGUCUGCCCCAAUUACAUCCAAUAUAUCCAUUCACGGCGAUCUGGAGCUAGUUCAUUGCCGCGCUUCUCCAUGCUAGCAUUCGCCUGAGCUUUGUGUUCUUACAACUCUUCGAGGUCGCUGCUUUUCUAUUCCUCGAGUUACUUCUUCUGUAUAUCGUUUCCCUUUGAGGAGCUCUCCAAGGCCCGAACUUCGCUAGAAAUUGUGCUUCCUUGUCGAGCUGCCCAAGAAACAAGGGAACUGUGAAGGCAGAGGUAGAGCUGCUUGGUUUCCUGAUCAGGGAACUUGGUUAUGAAUUCUAGAGUUUGAAAGUUUAUAUCUUGGAUUCCGUGGCCGCAAAUUGUUUUCUACUCAAUUAUGGAGUUGAUUUGGCUUCUUGAGCCUUAAGAGUGAGGAAUGUGAGAUUUUUUUUUGAAGUCGAUUUGGUAAGGUUCCUCCGCGAGUUUUUUAUACUCGCAAGGGUAUUUAGGGGUUUGGGAUCGACGCGGUGAAGUUGGAUAUGUGCCCUGUAGGUUUCUCUUACUUGUUGAGUGUUUACGGAGCUUUUUAGAGUGCUGCGAUGAAGCUCUCGACGGUUGGAGUUCUGGUCCAGCAGGAUGAGGAAGGGGGGGACAAGAGAUGCUUGAACUCCGAGCUUUGGCAUGCUUGUGCUGGUCCUCUAGUGUGUCUGCCCAAUGUCGGAACCCGUGUUGUCUACUUUCCACAGGGCCACAGCGAGCAGGUCGUGGCUUCCACUAAUAAGGAGGUUGAAGGCCAUAUUCCUAAUUAUCCGAACUUGCCACCUCAAUUGAUCUGCCAACUUCACGAUGUGACUAUGCACGCUGAUGCCGAGACUGACGAAGUCUACACACAGAUGACAUUGCAGCCUUUAAAUCCGCAGGAUCUGAAAGAUACAUACCUUCCAGCUGAGAUGGGGCUACCUAGCAAGCAGCCCAUGAAUUAUUUUUGUAAGACUUUGACUGCAAGCGAUACAAGCACUCAUGGAGGGUUUUCUGUUCCUCGUCGUGCAGCUGAAAAAGUUUUUCCUCCUCUGGAUUUCUCUCAACAGCCACCAGCUCAAGAGCUGAUUGCUCGAGAUAUUCAUGAUGUUGAUUGGAAGUUCAGGCAUAUCUUUAGAGGACAACCCAAGAGGCAUCUUCUCACUACAGGCUGGAGUAUCUUUGUCAGUGCUAAGAGACUUGUUGCUGGUGAUUCUGUUUUAUUUAUAUGGAAUGAGAAAAAUCAGCUUUUGUUGGGAAUCCGACGGGCUAAUCGACCACAAAAUGCUGUACCUUCAUCAGUUAUAUCAAGUGAUAGUAUGCAUAUUGGACUGCUUGCUGCAGCAGCUCAUGCUGCUGCAACAAAUAGCCGUUUCACCAUUUUUUACCACCCAAGGGCUUGUCCUUCAGAGUUUGUGAUACCACUCUCAAAAUAUGUUAAGGCUGUGUUUCACACUCGUGUCUCAGUUGGCAUGCGAUUUAGGAUGCUUUUCGAGACUGAAGAGUCAAGUGUUCGUAGGUAUAUGGGGACUAUAACAGGAAUAAGUGAUUUGGAUCCUGUCCGAUGGCCAAAUUCCCACUGGAGAUCAGUGAAGGUUAAUUGGGACGAAUCAACUGCAGGUGACAGACAACCUAGAGCAUCUUUAUGGGAAAUUGAGCCUUUGACAACAUUUCCAAUGUAUCCAUCACUAUUCCCUCUCAGACUUAAACCACCUUGGUACACUGGAGUUUCAUCUCUAAAUGACUACAAGUUAGAUGAGGGGAAUGCAUACAUGUGGCUUAGGGGGAGCUCAGGGGGGGGUAUUAGGUCUUUGAAUUUUCAAUCUCCUGGAAUUGGUCCGUGUGUUCAGCAGCAGGUCCAACCACAAUUGGGAAACAAUCACACUCCUUACCAAGCAAUGGAUGCUGCAGCUUGUGAUAUUAGAGGCAUGGAUUCACUUAGGCAGCCAUUUCUAAACUUCCAGCAGCCGUUUCAGUUCCCUCAGCAGUUCUGUAUGAACCCAUUGCUGCAGCAGCAAGUUAUUCAACAAGCUCACCAUGAACAGAUAAUGAAUUCUCAAGCUCAGUCUCUGUUGGAUAGUCAACCAAACAUUACUUCAAAUCAGCUGUUGCAACAGCCAUACGGUGAUCAGCAGAAGCAAAAAGGUCAGCAGCAACCAACUUAUCCAGAACUAUUUCAUGUUCAGAUUAAUAAUAUAGAACAGCAACAGCUGCCAAUACCCUCUCCAUUAUCUCAAAAAUCUGUAUUUCCUGAUUCAACUAUGAACUUUUCAUCAGUUGCAACACCCAGUUGCAUACAGAAUUUGUCAGCAGCGGCUUAUUCUGGAACAAAUGCUAAUAACUUGCACUUUGCAAAAACUGGUCAGACAAUGCUGGCUGAGCAGCAUCAGCAAAAAUGGGAUCCACAGUUUGCAUUGCAGAAGGUUUCUACUUUUGGUAAUACAGUUUUGCUUCAACCAUUUCACGGAAAAGAUGAUACAAGGGAAUCUGAUGUCUCUCCCACUGAUACACAAAACCACAGCCUAUUUGAUAUCAAUGUUGGUUCUUCCUUGCUUCUUGGCAAUGUUGUGCCUAAUCUAUUAAACGCAAACAAUAAUGACAAUGUUGUAUCCAGCAUGCCAUUUACCACUUCUUAUCUUCAAAAUUCACUUUAUCACAGCCUUGAUGAGUCAUCAGGUAUGUUGCAGCAUACCUACGACAUUGAUCCAUCAAUCAAAACUUUUGUAAAGGUUUACAAGUCAGGCUCGGUUGGGAGGUCACUCGACAUCACUCGUUUCAGCAACUAUACUGAAUUACGAAAGGCACUGGGUCAGAUGUUUGGUAUUGAGGGUCAACUUGAAAACCCUCUUAGAUCAGGCUGGCAGCUUGUAUUUGUUGACAGGGAGAAUGAUGUGCUUCUUCUUGGAGACGACCCUUGGGAACUUUGUGCAUUCAUGGUUGGCCGAUCAAAACCUGUACCUCUUCACCUGGUAUUCAUUUCUAAUUAAUGCAGAUCGUUUGUGAACAAUGUGUGGUACAUCAAAAUACUUUCACCAGAGGAUGUUCAGCAAAUGGGGCAGCAGGGAGUUGACUUGAGCUAAUUAACUUUGAAUUUCAAUCAAACCAAAUGGCAAGUCUGCUCGAGGUGAAAUCCCCGUAGGUGCCCAAAGUCUGUACUGUCUACUGUUAAACGUAUGACAGUAAAAUCUGCAUAAGAUACAGAUAUUUAUGCUAUAAAAUCCUUGUUGUGCAGGUUCCUAUUUGCUCUUCCAUUUACUUCUCGCCAAUAACCAUGCUCUUAGCUGUUCCAUGUACUCUUAAAUAGUAUAUUUUAUCUUCUUAUCUUAUUUAAUUCUAAUUUGUAAAGAACAAAGUGUCCUAGAAUAUAUCUAAAGCGUGGAUCUAAGAUUCGAUUACUGGAAUAAUUUUGGACAUCCAGUGAAUUUAGCUCCUGUAAUGUAAGUAGGAUUCGAGGACUGAGGAAUUUAUCCUUAUCCAUGGAUUUAUGAAGAGAUUUUUGUGCUUUGGAUAUUAUCUCUAGAUCACUAGUGAGAUAACUUAAUCAACGCCUUAAUCCGAA